GACGAACGCUGGCGGCGUGCCUAAUACAUGCAAGUAGAACGCUGAAGGAGGAGCUUGCUUCUCUGGAUGAGUUGCGAACGGGUGAGUAACGCGUAGGUAACCUGCCUGGUAGCGGGGGAUAACUAUUGGAAACGAUAGCUAAUACCGCAUAAGAGUAGAUGUUGCAUGACAUUUGCUUAAAAGGUGCAAUUGCAUCACUACCAGAUGGACCUGCGUUGUAUUAGCUAGUUGGUGGGGUAACGGCUCACCAAGGCGACGAUACAUAGCCGACCUGAGAGGGGGAUCGGCCACACUGGGACUGAGACACGGCCCAGACUCCUACGGGAGGCAGCAGUAGGGAAUCUUCGGCAAUGGACGGAAGUCUGACCGAGCAACGCCGCGUGAGUGAAGAAGGUUUUCGGAUCGUAAAGCUCUGUUGUAAGAGAAGAACGAGUGUGAGAGUGGAAAGUUCACACUGUGACGGUAUCUUACCAGAAAGGGACGGGUAACUACGUG
rnacentral:rRNA from 1 species